rnacentral:rRNA from 1 species
GACGAACGCUGGCGGCGUGCUUAACACAUGCAAGUCGAGCGAUGAAACACCUUCGGGUGCGGAUUAGCGGCGAACGGGUGAGGAACACGUCAGGAAUCUGCCUUCCACUCUGGGAUAACUCCGGGAAACCGGGGCUAAUACCGGAUAUUUUCAACUGGCGGCAUCGCCGGUUGAAGAAAGUUUUUCGGCGGAAGAUGACCUCGCGGCCUAUCAGCUUGUUGGUGAGGUAAAGGCUCACCAAGGCGACGACGGGUAGCCGGCCUGAGAGGGCGACCGGCCACACUGGGACUGAGACACGGCCCAGACUCCUACGGGAGGCAGCAGUGGGGAAUAUUGGGCAAUGGAGGGAACUCUGACCCAGCGACGCCGCGUGAGGGAUGAAGGCCUUCGGGUUGUAAACCUCUUUCAGCAGGGAAAAAGCGAAAGUGAAGGUACCUGCAGAAGAAGCACCGGCUAACUAUGUGCCAGCCGCCGCGGUAA